rnacentral:lncRNA from 1 species
CCUCAGCCACCUGAGCAGCUGGGAUUACAGGCGUACACCACCAUGCCUAGCUAAUUUUGUAUUUUUAGUAGAGACGAGGUUUCACCAUGUUGGCCAGCCUGGUCUCGAAAUCUUGACCUCAGGUGAUCCGCCUGCCUCAGCCUCCCAGAGUGCUGAGAUUACAGGCAUAAGCCACCACGCCUGGCCUUCAAAGUACUUUUUAACACCACAAUCUCAGGUCAGAUUCUUGGGUGCACUAUGAUGUAACGAGCAGGAAUGGUCUGGGGACCAGCUUUUAAGAGCGGUGCUGUCCAAUGGAACUUUAUGUGUUGAUGAAAAUGUUCUGUAUUUAUGUUGCCCAAUAUGUAACCACUCAGCAUAUGUGGCUCCUGGACACUUGAAAUACAGUUAGUGCAGCUGGAGAACUGAAUAAUUAACUUUCUUUAACGCUAAUUAACUUAAAUAGCCACAUCUGUUUUGUGGCUUAUGUAUUAGGUGAAGUUGGAAUCACCUGAGGUGCUUUUAAAAUGACCAAUUCCUGACCCCCAGACCAAGUGAAUUAGAACUUGCCUUGCGGAAAAGGGGAUUGGUGUCUGUGCUUUAAAGUUCUACAGGUGACCCUAAUUUGCAGCCAGAGUUGAGAAGCGCUGACUGUGGGUUCCCACCUCUGUCUGAAGAUUGGAAUCACCUGUAGGGUUUGUUGACAUGGCAGGUGCCCAGACUCCACACAGUCUUAAUGGGAGUGAGGCCCAGGAAUCUGUUUUCAACAGGCUCCCAGGUGAUGCUUGGUAGUAGGGGUCAUGAACCUCUAGAUAGGGCUGGGCGCAGUGGCUCAUGCCUGUAAUCCUAGCACUUUGGGAGGCCAAGGCAGGAAGAUAGGUUGAGUCCAGGAGUUCAAGACCAGCCUGGGCAACAUAGUGAAAUCCCAUCUCUACAAAAAAUACAAAAAUUAACUAGGUAUAGUGGUAUAUACCUGUAGUCCCAGUUACUUGGGAGGCUGAGGUGGGAGAAUCACCUGUGCCCAGGAGGUCGAGGCUGCAGUGAGCUGUGAUCAUGCCACUGCACUCCAGCCUAGGCAAGACCGUAAGACCCAGUCUCAUAAAACAAAACAAAAGCAAUAACCUCUCGAUUGGAUAAUUGUUACUGUUUUGGUUGCAUUUGAGUAAGAGACAUUGCUGACUAUGAAGAGUCCUGUGUUUCCUCUGUUGGACAAAGCUGGACUCUGUGACUACUCAGUUCUCCAUGGAACUAGCCAUAGAAUCUUUGAAUGUCCGUGAAGGAUCUUGGAGGACUAGUACACUCCCCUCAUCUUACAGGCCAGGCAUUCAGCGCAUGCGCCGUCCUGACAGUGCGGAGCCCAACAGCUAUAUUCCCCGGUGUCUGCGCCAGAGGAGUUCACCAGCAGCAGCUGGCUGCACUGGCUGAAGUGCUUGAUUCUGAAAGACAGAUGGUAGGGGCGGGACGGGCAGGCGAUGGGGAUGGCCCGAUACUCCUAGUGGGCAGCAUUUGGUCUACUGACAGUCCUCCCUCCCAUCACCAACUUUCAUCACCCACCCACCCACCCAAUCUUUCCCCCUUUCUCAAUGGAUCUGUUAGGAUUUGCAUUGGCCCCACCCGUAGUUUCUGAUUGGCUCGCCUAACCCUCCUUCCCUUUGACUUUGCACUUCACGAAUGGAAUGCCACAAGCGUCUUUGUGCUCCUCGGCACCUUCCUGAUGUCUCUUGGUGCAAGCCUG